UUCUCUUUCUGCCCCUCCUCUCUCUCUCUCUCUCUCUCUCUCUCUCUCUCUCUCUCUCUCUCUCUCAAGAACAAAUAAACAUUGAAAAAGAAAAAGAGAAAGAACGACUGAUCUAGUGGAACCAGUUUACCUGCAUUUCCUUGGACUUCCAUCCCUGGACUGACCCAGGCUGGGAAGCCACAAUGAGGACGGGGCUGGCAGAAAAAACACAGCCCCCACAGGCCGAGGAGACAAACCUCAGACAGAAUCCUGCUGCCACAUCAGCUCCUGGACAGAUGCGCCGCCCUAGCUGCUCUUUAGCCCUGGAGGCGAAAGCAUCCACGGCCCACCAGCAGGAAGGAACGAGGGUCGGCUAGAAAGUGACCUGUCUGGAUCGCCCACCCCAGGCUGCCCACGCUCGCACUCUGCCCCUGGGGAGGAAGGAGAAGCCUCCAGCAUAAGGCUGCCAGGUGGAGGGCCCAGCUGUGGGAGGGGUGCCCCAGGUACCAGCCAGAAACACUUCCCAGGGAAGAUAGACACCAAACAUCAUGAACACACACACACACACACACACACACACACACACACACGUGCGUACACACAUGGAAAGAUUCAAUUGUUUACAAACUGUGUGACCAGUUGUUUCAAAUUGCUCAUCCUAAGCACCACCAAAGGCUCUUCUGCACAGGGGAGGGAUGAGACCAAAGGAAAAACCCAGCACUGGCCUUGCCCAGACCGUUUGGGGACAAGGACCCCGCCAGGCAGGCGUUGGCAGAGCCCCUGGCAAGGCCGUUGCCUGCAGAGAAGGGCCCCGAUGCAACUGGCGCGAGGCUCUGCAGACUGUGGGCCUCUGACCUGCGCGCACCAGCCCCGCCCCCAGGCCACCUGUGCAAAGUCAAGGAGCCUGCGGACCAUCAGUACCCAGGCCCAGGAGAGGGGGAGGAGGGAGGGUGGGCCGGUGGGAGGGGAGAGCCCCAGGAGGCCCCGACAAGCUGCCCCUCUCGUCUUCACCCAGGCAGGCGAGUGUGAGAGCAGACCCCAGGAUGUCUGAAGCUCCUUCAAUGCCAAUUACUGCAGAAAUAAUUCAGCGUGCUCACCCCCCGCCUCUCAGCACACACUCUUUGGGGACGUUUUAAGUCUGACUGUACCUGCUGAGCAGCUGACAAAUGAAGCCUCUCGCUCGCUCUGCCUCCCUCCUUCCCGACUGCCGUCCCUCCACCCCUCUGCCCAGGCUCAUCGAUGGUGGGGAAACGGAGGGCUGGGUGUUCUCAUCCUGCACCCCUCCUCCCCGUGCAGGGCCUGCUCAGACCGGUGCCCUGUGCCCGCUGCCUGGGCUCUGCUUCCAGAUGAGGGGUGGCAGGGCUGGGUUCCCUGGAGUCCGUCCACCCCACAGGUCCUUACAGGCAGGAGCUGUGGCUUAUUCAGCUUUGGUUAGCUGUCAGGAAAUAUUGUCGGAUUGCUGGAUGGGUAGCCGGGCAGGUGGAUGAGUGGGCAGACGGGGUGGAGGGAGGGAGGGAUGGAGAGAGGAAUGGAACAGAUCCCAAACGUGGCCUUUCCCAAUGCUUAGGGCUUUCCAAGUCUAAACAGAUGACUCAACACAGUUCCCUGUGAGGCACAGCUGCUAUUAUCUGAACGGUCGGCCCCACAAUUCCUCUUGGGAAAAAACUGUUUCGGUUCCGGAAAAUACUUUUAAAGGAUGACUGCGGAUGAUCCCAAGAAUACACUCCACCAGGGGACCAAGGCCACAAAAGAGAACUGGCUGAGUUCCCAGGGUUGAAGUUGCCUUGAAGUCUGACUGCUGAAGGAGAAAGGGAGUUUCUGUCCAUUUUGUUGUUAACUCAAUCCAGAGUCUGAGCUGGUGGCAUAAAGAUUUCAAACAUCCUG